rnacentral:rRNA from 1 species
AGAGUUUGAUCCUGGCUCAGAUUGAACGCUGGCGGCAGGCUUAACACAUGCAAGUCGAACGGAUCACUUCGGUGGUUAGUGGCGAACGGGUGAGUAAUGCCUAGGAAUCUGCCUAUUAGCGGGGGAUAACGUUCCGAAAGGAACGCUAAUACCGCAUACGCCCUACGGGGGAAAGCAGGGGAUCUUCGGACCUUGCACUAAUAGAUGAGCCUAGGUCAGAUUAGCUAGUUGGUGAGGUAAAGGCUCACCAAGGCGACGACCUGUAGCGGGUCUGAGAGGAUGAUCCGCCACACUGGAACUGAGACACGGUCCAGACUCCUACGGGAGGCAGCAGUGGGGAAUAUUGGACAAUGGGGGCAACCCUGAUCCAGCCAUGCCGCGUGUGUGAAGAAGGCCUUAUGGUUGUAAAGCACUUUAAGCGGGGAGGAGGGUACUCUUGUUAAUACCAAGAAGUAUCGGACGUUACCCGCAGAAUAAGCACCGGCUAACUCUGUGCCAGCAGCCGCGGUAAUACAGAGGGUGCGAGCGUUAAUCGGAAUUACUGGGCGUAAAGCGCGCGUAGGCGGUUAUUUAAGUCGGAUGUGAAAUCCCCGAGCUCAACUUGGGAAUUGCAUUCGAUACUGGGUAGCUAGAGUAUGGGAGAGGAAGGUAGAAUUCCAGGUGUAGCGGUGAAAUGCGUAGAGAUCUGGAGGAAUACCGAUGGCGAAGGCAGCCUUCUGGCCUAAUACUGACGCUGAGGUGCGAAAGCAUGGGGAGCAAACAGGAUUAGAUACCCUGGUAGUCCAUGCCGUAAACGAUGUCAACUAGCCGUUGGAGCCUUUGAGGCUUUAGUGGCGCAGCUAACGCGAUAAGUUGACCGCCUGGGGAGUACGGUCGCAAGACUAAAACUCAAAUGAAUUGACGG